GAUGAACGCUGGCGGCGUGCCUAAUACAUGCAAGUCGAGCGAACGGACGAGAAGCUUGCUUCUCUGAUGUUAGCGGCGGACGGGUGAGUAACACGUGGAUAACCUACCUAUAAGACUGGGAUAACUUCGGGAAACCGGAGCUAAUACCGGAUGAUAUUUUGAACCCCAUGGUUCAAAAGUGAAAGACGGUCUUGCUGUCACUUAUAGAUGGAUCCGCGCUGCAUUAGCUAGUUGGUAAGGUAACGGCUUACCAAGGCAACGAUGCAUAGCCGACCUGAGAGGGUGAUCGGCCACACUGGAACUGAGACACGGUCCAGACUCCUACGGGAGGCAGCAGUAGGGAAUCUUCCGCAAUGGGCGAAAGCCUGACGGAGCAACGCCGCGUGAGUGAUGAAGGUCUUCGGAUCGUAAAACUCUGUUAUUAGGGAAGAACAUAUGUGUAAGUAACUGUGCACAUCUUGACGGUACCUAAUCAGAAAGCCACGGCUAACUACGUG
rnacentral:rRNA from 1 species